rnacentral:rRNA from 1 species
UACGUAGGGGCAAGCGUUGUCCGGAUUUAUUGGGCGUAAAGAGCGUGUAGGCGGCCAGACAAGUCUGCUGUGAAAACUCGAGGCUCAACCUCGAGCUGUCGGCGGAAACUGUUGGCUAGAGUCCGGAAGAGGAGAGUGGAAUUCCUGGUGUAGCGGUGAAAUGCGCAGAUAUCAGGAGGAACACCUAUUGCGAAGGCAGCUCGCUGGGACGUUACUGACGCUGAGACGCGAAAGCGUGGGGAGCAAACAGG